rnacentral:rRNA from 1 species
UACGGGGGGGGCAAGCGUUGUUCGGAAUUACUGGGCGUAAAGCGCACGUAGGCGGAUCGAUCAGUCAGGGGUGAAAUCCCAGAGCUCAACUCUGGAACUGCCUUUGAUACUGUCGAUCUGGAGUAUGGAAGAGGUGAGUGGAAUUCCGAGUGUAGAGGUGAAAUUCGUAGAUAUUCGGAGGAACACCAGUGGCGAAGGCGGCUCACUGGUCCAUUACUGACGCUGAGGUGCGAAAGCGUGGGGAGCAAACAGG